rnacentral:tRNA from 1 species
UCAGUGGUGAUUCAGUGGUAGAAUUCUCACCUUCCAUGUGGGAGACCCGGAUUCAAUUCCCGACUAAUGAA